UGCCAGCCGCCGCGGUAAUACUGAAGGUGCAAGCGUUAAUCGUGAAUCACUGGGCGUAAAGCGCUCGUAGGUGGCUUUGUAAGUCAGACUGUGAAAGCCCACGGCUCAACCGUGGAAUUGCAUUUGAUACUGCAUCGCUAGAGUAUAGGAGAGGGAAGUGGAAUUUCUGGUGUAGGAGUGAAAUCCGUAGAGAUCAGAAGGAACACCGGUGGCGAAGGCGACUUCCUGGACUAUUACUGACACUGCGGAGCACAAGCGUGGGGAACAAACAGGAGUAGAUA
rnacentral:rRNA from 1 species